rnacentral:rRNA from 1 species
AUUGAACGCUGGCGGAAUGCUUUACACAUGCAAGUCGAACGGUAGAGGGGGCAACCCCUCGAGAGUGGCGAACGGGUGAGUAAUAUAUCGGAACGUGCCCAGUCGUGGGGGAUAACGUAGCGAAAGUUACGCUAAUACCGCAUACGAUCUAAGGAUGAAAGCGGGGGAUCGCAAGACCUCGCGCGAUUGGAGCGGCCGAUAUCGGAUUAGGUAGUUGGUGGGGUAAAGGCUCACCAAGCCAACGAACUGUAGCUGGUAUGAGAGGACGACCAGCCACACUGGAACUUAGACACGGACCAAACUCCUACUGGAUGCAGCAGUGGGAAAUUUUGGACAAUGGACGCAGGUCUAAACCAGCCUUUCGGCGGGCAGGAUGAAGGCCCUCGGGUUGUAAACUGCUUUUGUACGGAACGAAAAGGUCUCUCUUAAUACGGGGGACUCAUGACGGUACCGUAAGAAUAAGCACCGGCUAACUACGUGCCAGCCACCGCCGUAACAC